rnacentral:rRNA from 1 species
ACGCUCGACACCUACGUGAGGCAGCAGUGGGGGAAUAUUGCACAAUGGGGGAAACCCUGAUGCAGCGACGCCGCGUGAGCGAAGAAGUAUUUCGGUAUGUAAAGCUCUAUCAGCAGGGAAGAAACUGACGGUACCUGACUAAGAAGCACCGGCUAAAUACGUGCCAGCAGCCGCGUAAUCUGAGCGGGCUGGCAAGGC